rnacentral:lncRNA from 1 species
CAGGACCCCAAACAAAGGCGGGCGAGUCUUCCCUUCUCUGUACAGCCCAGUUUCCUGGUUGUCACACCAUAGUCAAGGCCGGCCUGCCAAGGAGGGAGCCACUUCUGCUGCCUAGGACCUGUAUGGAGAUGUCUCACCGUGGAGGAAGGAGGGGACACUUUGAGCUGGGUGUAGAAGAAUCAGUCGGAUCCUGUCAUCCAGAUAAAGGUGAGUAGGAGGGAUAUUU